UCUCCGUUGGUGAACCAGCGGAGGGAUCAUUACCGAGUUUACAACUCCCAAACCCAAUGUGAACGUUACCAAACUGUUGCCUCGGCGGGAUCUCUGCCCCGGGUGCGUCGCAGCCCCGGACCAAGGCGCCCGCCGGAGGACCAACCAAAAACUCUUUUGUAUACCCCCUCGCGGGUUUUUUAUAUCUGAGCCAUCUCGGCGCCUCUCGUAGGCGUUUCGAAAAUGAAUCAAAACUUUCAACAACGGAUCUCUUGGUUCUA
rnacentral:misc_RNA from 1 species